UACGUAGGGUGCGAGCGUUAAUCGGAAUUACUGGGCGUAAAGCGUGCGCAGGCGGUUUUCCAAGACAGAUGUGAAAUCCCCGGGCUCAACCUGGGAAUGGCAUUUGUGACUGGAAGGCUAGAGUGUGUCGGAGGGGGGUAGAAUUCCACGUGUAGCAGUGAAAUGCGUAGAGAUGUGGAGGAAUACCGAUGGCGAAGGCAGCCCCCUGGGAUAACACUGACGCUCAUGCACGAAAGCGUGGGGAGCAAACAGG
rnacentral:rRNA from 1 species